UGACGAUUAACCAGUCCACUUUGAGUUGCCUCAGUGCUUAGUUAAAUGAUGGGAAAAUAUGUGCAUAAGAAUGUGAAUAUAUAUAUAACCCUCCAUGGUGUCGAACGAAUCAUUGCAAGUGAGGAGUUCCUGCUAUGUAGCUAUUGAAAAGUUGAUGGAUACCUGCCGAAGCGAGGGCAAAUAAGUAUGUACAUAAAUUGAUGGCAGAAGAGCACACAGCCAUACAACAUUUGUAUGCAUAGUCUGUUCAAAAAGUGUCGGUUUUGAGUUAAGAAAAAUUGACCACGCAUCAUAGAAAGAAAGAAAGAAUGUGCAGAAACUCGUUAUGAACGCGGUUGCUUUAAAUGAGAAUUUUCUUGCUUUUAUUUAAAAUGUAAAUAAUAAAAAAAUUAAUAAA